rnacentral:piRNA from 1 species
UCCAGCCUAGUUUGAUUCCCAGUCUCAUU